AUUAAACAUCUUAAUUUUUAAUUAGAGUAGUAAUUAAUGUAACCUUUUUUGUUAAUAUUUUAGAGCAUGUAGUCAGUGGUGACCAAGUGGAGCAUGAUCUGGGUACACAACAUCAGGAACGUGAUGUUCCCCACUCAGAUGAUCUAGAGGGUGUUCAACAUGCUGAGGUUGAGGCUAGACAAAAUGAUGUGGCCCCAUCGGAGGACCCCCCUUCGCUUCAGUGUCCUCGUCCUCAGGUUUAGGACUAGGCAUACAUCGAGAUCGCAAGCAAAGGGUGAAACA